AAAGCCAGAAGUUGUGGCACCACAUCAGUUGCGUGUGUGAACCCGGCUUAACUUCAGCGCGCGCAUAGAUAUUAAAUAAUCAUUUUGCCACGCUCUAUACAUGAAUGGUACAAUAAACAAUUGUUAAAAUAGGACGUACGCCGAGAACCGUUCGCAGAGCUUAGAAGUAGAUGUUAACAGUCACCUUUGAAACGUCAUAAUUCAGACGUCCACUAUUAGAUUUGUGAGUGCAGUUUUUAGUAGGUCAGUACGUACAUGUUUUUAUAGGCCUGUAAUCGCUCAAUUCCUUAAUUAUACGAUUUCUAAAAAUUUUAAACGUGUGGGAAAAACGGUGAUCUGUUGGGAAAUUAUGUGAAUGUAUGAGGGAAAACUGAGAUACAUUAUCUGGCACCAUUGGGAUUUACUACCAGUUCCUUCGACCAUAGAUACCAUAGAUACCUCUAUGGUCGAAGACCAGUUCCCGCCAGUAGUAAAGAGUUGUUGUGAGUUGAAAUUAACGUAUGGAGUGUGCCACUGGUAGUAUUUGAGUUGAAAGUACUAGAAAACAUUAAGGGUAGCGCUUAUAGCCACGUUGCUUAAUCUGGUACCGUACAGGGACGCAAGAUACCGUCGUGCAUAUUACCAAGAAACUAUGAUAUAGUAAACAUGCUUGCGAAAUUUGCUCAUACUGGCUGUUUUACUUUGUUUCAAUGAGAGAUGUUGUGGGCAGAUAAUGCUCUGUGAUGCUGAUCCUGCAAAUUGUUGAUAGCAGUGGAACUUUAGAGGAUAGAAGAUCGUACAUCCUUUGCAAAUUUUAUGCGAAUGGAUGUAUUGGUAUUUGAAGAACUGCUUUGUUUGGUUUCGCCUCUCUUUCAGAAGAAAGACACGGUGAUGCAUCAGGGAAUUACGGCCUGGGAAAGAUGCCAGUGACUCAAGAUGAAUGGUGUGCAACACAAACUUUGUUUAGCCACUCUCCCUGUCCCCCAUCAUAUGGCAUCUUUGGAUGAUAUUGGCUGCCAAGGCAGAAUUUCAGAUGGUGUCUUUAAUAAUGCAUUUAGAAGUGGAGUUAAGACAGAGAAAAAAACUAAACUUGCCACAGGAAUGUUUACCUGGAGGGAUGAACCAGUGACCUGCAUUCAGGGCAAAUGAAGCCUUUCCAUUGCAAGAAAACAUGAAGCCCUUUUCAGGGAAGUACAACCAGGGAUAAAAUAAGAGAAUCUUUAACUAUCAACUGUCUAUGGCCAGGAUGGUUGUGAGAAAACAUUUGGUAUUCUGGCCUCAGUAUUUCGUGUGUUCUGUAAACUGAGAAGGCACAAAUCAUUAUGUCAGCUGUUUGUUUAUGCAGUUUUUUGAGGAGGAAUGCAGAGUGAGGGACUGUUACAGCCUGCCAGCUAACUUGGAUUUGUAAUUACUUAACAAAAAUACGUGGGUUGGAACUUAAAUAGUAGCAACACUGCUGUCUUAUGCAGUGGAAUGUACUACUGUCACUGGUAGCAGACAUUGACAUACCUACCUUACCUCUGGGCAACAACCCCCCCCCCCCCCUCCCCUGCUGGUCCAACAUACCUAUCUUACCUCUGAGCAACCCCCCCUUUCUGGUCUGGGCGGGUUGGAAAAGGCCCGAGGUAUUCCUGCCUGUUGUAUGAGGCGACUAAAAUUGAGUUUCACACGUUUCCGCCUUUGUGAUGGUCCCGAACAAUUUACAAAUUAUGAUGCAGAGUUAUAUGGCAUUCUAAUGGCACUGGAGAGGGUUCACAGACACAAACAUACAGAGUUUUCUUGUCUGUUCACUCUCUUAGUGCACUGCAAGUGCUUCACCAAAUGUAUCUGGUAGGCCUGCUGAUUCAGCUGAUCCAUGACUGCUUACAGCGGCUCCAAUGCCAUGGCAAGGUGGUUAACUUUUGGAGGGUACUUGGCCACGUUAGGAUAUGGGGUAAUGACACGGCUGAUAAAGCUGCUAAGGAAGCAUGUUGGGAUGGUGCUGUCCAUCAAUGUCCCAUCCCGUUGCAUGCCAUUAUCUCAUUUUCUUACAGGUGCAUCAUGUGUUAGUGGGAGACGGAGUGGUUGCAGGUGUGGAACAACAAACUGCAGUCGCUCAAACCAACCACAAAAGCUUGGCGGACUUCGUGUCAGCCUCGCUGCUGGAAGGCAGUUUUGCUUACCAGACUGCGCGUUGGGCAUAGCCCUUUCACACAUAGCUUCCUCGUCUGGGUGGAGGAUCCAACUUUCUGUGAAGUUUGUGGCGUGCCGUUUUCAGUUCAGCAUAUUGUGGCUAUGUGUGUCCUGCAUACUGAUAAUAGAGCAGCCCUUGGUCUCACUCGAGAUCUGCCCACCAUUCUUGCAGAUACUGAUACCAGUGUUAGGUGGUGAAAUUUUCCUAACUAUUAGGCCUCAUCCCUAAACUGGUGGGGAAGGACGGCAUACUUUGGUACGUUAUAAACUGUUCUGCAUGUGGGCGACAGCCUUCGUCCCCACCCAUGAGAUUUCCUGUUGAUUUUUCAUCAAGGUGCUGGUGACUGUGAUGUUGAGUGCCCCCUCAACCCAAAUCAUUUCAUUAUUUUUGUCAUGGUCCCCUGUAUUCUUUGACAUCCAUUCUUCAAAGUCUUCCUAGAGAGCAAGCCAAUUGGGGAAGGGCACUUCACAAGGUGCAUUGUGUCCAUUGUGCAUUGAGAUCCUUAGCCCGCUUUCUAGUCAUCGCAUUGCAGUACUGCAUAGUCUCCAUCUCUGGGUAUGUUUUCCACCGUGCACUAUGCAGUGUCGAUUUCUGGUUCGACAAUGACCAUGGACUUCUUUGCACCUGAUAUCUGGCAUGGUAGCCAGUCCUUUGUGGUGGGGCCACCAUGUGCCCUGUUGGUUGUAGCCCCCCUGACCACACAGGGAUUGCUCUGCUAAUGCCUGUGCCAUUAACUCCCCCACAUAUGCCUAGGGGUAGAUGCCCAUCGCCUUGGGGCAUCGGGACUCCCAGCAAUGGCCAUCCAGCCAGGUGGCCUUUGCUGCGGUUGGGUGGUGCCCAUGGGGAGGGCCCCUGGUAGGAGUGGGUGGCAUCAGGGCAGAUUACACGCGAUGAAGCAGAGUCCAUCUCUUGCUGUUGGUGAAACACCAGCUGUUUCAAAGCAAUCAAGAGCUCAAUUCAACGCACAGAGGUAAGAACCCAAAUCGUUCCCCUCCCUGGCCACACCAUUGGAGGAACGUCAGGCUAAGGAUGGCAGCAGAUCUUAUUCGACUUGGUGCCUUGUGUGUUAGAGAGCUGAUGAUGGGAAUCUUUCACGACGAUGAAGCCAAUUUUUUGUUGAGCGUUUAGAGGACAUGUUUGGGAGAUGGAGACCUUGUUCAAAAUGAGAUCUGGGUCAGUCUGGAUCAAAACAGCAUCCUCUGCCCAGUCAUUGGAGUUACUCGCUUGUGAAAAGCUGGGGAUGUUUCUAGAACCAUCACACUCCAUAAGAGCUUAAAUAUGGUCCAGGGUAUCAUAUUUCAGAGACCUUCUUUUGCAGUCAGACGAUGAACUGCACUCCAAUUUAGAGCAGCGAGGUGCACAUUUUUUCCGGUGUGUACACCGGGGUCCAAAGGAUAAUAAGGUUGCCACUGGUGCCUUCAUCUUGGCCUUUGAGUGUGAUACAUUGCCCAAGGAGGUCAAGGUGAUGGUCUGCCACUGUGAUGUGAAGCCCUAUAUCCCUACCCCAAUGCGGUGCUUAAAGUGCUUGAGCUUCGACCUUAUGUCUUCUGACUGUACUUCCAGCGUCACAUUCAGAGAUUGCAGACGCCCUUCACAUCCCAAUACUCCAUGUGCCCCUCCUCCCAUCUGUCAACCGCGGAGAACACCAUUCGCCUUGCUCUCCUGACUGCAAGAUUCUCCAGAAAGGAGAAUCCAUACGUACAAGACCCUGGACAGACUGACCUACACUGAGGCUAAGUGAAAAUUUGAACACCUGCAUCCUGUGCAUAUGACACCAUCUUACGCCGCUGCUACAACAGUUCUGGCACCAUCAGCUCCGCCAACCCAUGUCACCUCUCAGCAGAGCUGGAAGACUACACCUGCCCCCUUGAUGGUGGUGGACAUUUCCCUCCGUUGUUCGUGCACCUCCUACUUCUAAGACAGAAGUGUGUGUCUUCUUCGGCUUCUCUCGCUAGAAAGUGGUCCCUUGGGUCACUCCCUUCCCAGGUUUCUUCUAGUGGGAAAGACAACACCCCCCCCCCCCCCCCCCCCCGGUGGCGGAAGAGUCAAAAAGCAGCUGGUCUUGAGUCUUCACACUCAUCCUCAGUCCCAGAGACUGAGCCAGUGAAGUCCUCCCAGCCAGGGAAACCCAAGGAGCAGUGAGAGAAAUUCAAAAAAACCCUCUAAGACCAAGGAAUUUGUGGUGGCACCACACCACCACUACCUACAAGCUCUGCGGCUGAGGAUGGGGUGGGGAUUUUGGCAUCCGCUGAGGACCUAGAUCUCGCCAGACCCUCAGACACAAUUGAUAUAGACUGCUCGGUCAAUAAAUCAGUGGCAGCAGGUGACUCUGAGGCGUAAACUGCCUCACUGAAUGUCCCAUGCCUUCCCAGGCUCAAGGUAUCAUCCACCAGUGGAAUUGCGGCAGUUUUUUCCAUAGUCUGGCUGAGCUAUGGCAACUGUUAAGCUUUACAUCUGCUAUCUUCAUUGUCUUCCAGGAAACCUGGUUCCCAGCAAUGUUGACCCCUGCCCUUUGCGGCUAUAAGGGAUAGUACGGGAACCAUAGCAACUAUAAUAGUGUCAGGUGGAGUUUGCGUUUGUCCUAAACUCUGUCUGUAGUGAAUAUGUGACCCUUCAAACCUCUCUUGAAGCUGUGGCUGUCGGAACAAGGACGAUGCAGGAAAUAACUGUCUGCAAUGUAUAUCUUCCUCCAGAUGGUGCAGUACCCCUGAAUGUAUUAGCUCCACCUAUUGCUCAACUCCUUAAACCUUUCCUACUUCUGGGAGAUUUUAACACCCAUAACCCCUUGUGGGUUGGUACCAUGCUAACUGGCCGAAGCAGAGAUGUCUAAACUUCACUGUCACAAUUCGACCUCUGCGUCAUAAAUACUGGAGCUGCCACACAUUUCAGUGUGGCUCAUGGUAGUUACUCGGCCACAGAUGUAUCAGUUUGCAGCCCAGGACUUCUCCCAUCUAUCCACUGAACAGCACAUGACGACCUGUGUGGUAGUGACCACUUACCCAUCUUCCUGUCACUGCCCCAGCGUCAGGCACACGGACAGCUGCCCCGAUGGGCUUUGAACAAGGCGGACUGGGAAACUUUCACCUCUGCACGGUAACAUCAAUGUGGUAGUUGAGUAGGUGACUAGCACAUUGUUUCUGCAGCAGAAAAUGCGAUCCCUCACUCUUUAGGGUGCCAGAGCUGUAAGGCAGUCCAUUGGUGGUCACUGGAAUCACUGAAGCAAUUAAGGAGCAUCAGCGAGCUCUGCAGCGUUAUAAGUGGCACCCUUACCUGGAAAGGUCACAGAGCCAUUUAAAGGCUAUGAUGUGCUCCAGGUAAGGAGCACAUCAUACCCUUUAAAUGGCUCUGUGACCAUGUUCACUACCUUACCAAACAACAAAAGUGUUGGGAGAGAUAAAUCUCCACCAUUGGGUGCCACACGGCACCUUUCCAAGUCUAGGCAAAGAACAAACAUCUUUUCUGGUACCAGGCCCCAACAGCUGUCCCCGGUGUUACCAUAAAUGGCAAGUUUAUUCAAAGCUUCCUGUCACUCCGUACUUUCUGUUUCCAAGUUGGUGACUCUCAUAUUUCCAUCCUUAUCCAGGAGAAUGGAGUCUCUCAGGGCUCUGUAUUGAGGGUCUCUGUAUUUUUAGUGGCCAUUAACGGUCUAGCAGCAGCUGUCAGGCCCUAUUUCUCACCUUCUCUGUAUGCAGACUACUACUGCAUUUCUUACUGCUGCUACAGUACUGGUGUUGCUGAGCUGUGCCUCCAGGGAGCCAUCCAGUUUUCAGCUGCAAAGUAAUGUCAUGCACUUCUGCCAGUGUCGUACUGUUCAUCCAGAACCCACACUUUACCUUCACGAUGAUACUCUAGUGGAGACAUAUCGAUUCUUAGGACUGGUUUUAGAUGCUCAAUGGAUUUGGCUCCCUCAUCUCCCUCAUCUUCAUCAGCUUAAGCAAAGUGCUGGCAGCACAUCAAUACCCUCCGUUGCCUGAGUGAACCAAUUGGGGUUCAGGUCGCUGUACGCUGCAGCAGCUCUACAGAACCCUUGUCCAAUGCCAAAUUGACUAUGGAAGUGUGGUUUAUGGUUUGGCAGCACCUUCAGCAUUGCAUUUACUCGACCCGGUGACCGGCUUACUAUUGGAGGCUGGUGUCUCUCAACUGCAGAUCAGACGUACACAACUGCUUUCCAGUUAUGCAUCACACAUUCAUAGUUCCACUCAGCAUCCGAAUUACUGUCUUUUUCCUGCCCAUGGCAGUCUCAUCUGCCGCAUCGGCGGCAGAGAUCGGGGCUAACGAUUGCGGCUCGCGUGUGGUACCUACUCUCUGAACUGGAGUCAUUUCCUUUACCACCUAUACUUGUGGUCCAUUUAUCUACGCCUCCAUGGUGUACACCUUAGCUGCAACUUCAUCUGGACCUUUUGCAUGGCCCUAAGGACUCUGUUAACCCCGCCACUCUCCGCUGUCACUUCAUCUCGAUUCUUGACAUUUUCGGGGGCUCUGAAGUGGUUUACACUGACGGCUCUCCCGGCCAGUGCAAAGAUCACCCGUUCAACCUCCCCACUUUCGCCUGCUCACUCUAAAGCAAGGCUAACCCUUCAUCGGGUUCUGCUAAAUCUCAAGCCCAAAAGUCAGACACCCGGACUUCCAAAAAAGAGCCUACACGUGAAGAUUUCUGCAUACCCCAAAUUCACAACCAUCAGUUCCUCCUUCAUCUAAACAUCCUUUUUCCAAGAAGGCUAAUAAGAAACAGAGUUCCUCUCCUCCUCCACCACGGCGUGUCUCAUCUGCAGCACCACCUGGAGGUAGCAGUCUUCAGUGUCACCGAGGUGUACUGCUGGCGGCUGAUCAGCCUGCCAAUCGCUGGUGGCAGGAGCUGCUUCUGAACAACCUAUGGAUCAAGGAUCUUCUGCCUUCAGCUGACUGCCGUUCCACGCUGUCAGUCGCAAGCUCUGAGCUGUCGUUGAGUUGAGGGCAAUCUUGGUCACAUUCUUCCAUUUUCUGUCCACCCUAUGUCCAUCAUCCAUUGGAAUAUCCACCAACUUCAAGCCAAUCAGGAUGAAUUGUCGAUCCUCUUACGAUCCUACUCACCAGUCAUCUUCUGUCUUCAGGAAUCAAAGCUGCGUCCCCACAACUGCUUCGUUUUCCCCGAUUUUUAGUCAGUCCAAUUUGAUCUCCCCUCUGUUGAAGGUACUCCAGCACAUGGAGGACUCGUGAUUCUUCUCCAUUAUCACCCAAUCCCCUUAAACACUUCCUUCCAAGCUGCUGUUGUCCAUCUUUCCCUUUCUGGAUACACCUUCUCUCUUCGUACUGUAUACAUUCCAUCGUCCACACCAAUGGCACAAGCUGAUCUCCUUCAUCUUCAUGGUCAGCUUCCACCCCCACUAUUUGCUGGUUGGGAACUUCAAUGCCCACCACCCGCUUUGAGGAUCUCCACAUCCUUGUCUGUGUGGCUCACUAUUGCUAGACGUCUUCAACCAAGCGGAUUUUGUUUGCCUCAGCACUGGGGACCCUACAUUUUUGUCUGCCUCCACGACAAAUUUCUCUCAUUUGGACCUUUCGGUCUGUACUGUUCUGCUAGCUUGGCGCUUUGAAUGGUUCACCCUUGCUGAUACACACUCAAGUGACCACUUUCCAUGUGUCCUUCGAUUGCAGCCACACCUGCCAUAUAUGCGCCCGCGACACUGGAAGUUUGCCAAAGCCGAUUUGACAUUUUUUGUCUCUAGCCACAUUCGAUGACCGUCACUUUCCUAGCAUUGACGAUGAGGUCACUCAUAUUACAGAAAUUCUUCUUUCAGCUGCGAAACGUUCAACCUCCGAAUUGCCCCGGCACCCCCCAGUUGCUUGGUGGAACGAGGCAUGCCGUGAGCGGCGGCGUGCUCUUCGCGUUUUCAGACACCUUCCUACAUUGGCCAACUGUAUCCGCUAUAAGCAGUUCCGUGCGCGAUGCUGUUGCGUCAUCUGUGAUUAGCAAGAAAGCAAGCUGGGACUUCUUCACUAGCUCAUUUAACAGCUUCACUCCCUCCUCAGAAGUUUGGAGUCGGAUUCGACGGUUAUCUGGCGUGCCUAGUUUCUCCCUGGUCUCUGGGCUCACUGUCGUGCAUGACACAUUAGUGGAACCCGUCGCAAUUUCUAACUCAUUGGGUCAACACUUCGCUGAGAUUUCGAGCUCUUCAAAUUACCCGCCAGUGUUUCUCCCGAAGAAACGCGCUGCGGAAAUGCAACCUCUUGCCUUCUCCUCUCAAAGCUACAACACUGUUUUCUCCAUGCGGGAACUCCAACAUGCACUCUCUUCUUCUCGCUAUUCUGCCCCAGGACUGGAUGGUAUCUACAUCCAAAUGUUGCUGCAUUUACCAUACCAUAGUGUGCAUUACCUCCUUCGCCUUUAUAAUUGAAUUUGGACCAACAGUACUUUUCCCAGCUGGUGGUGGGAAGCUAUCGUCAUUCCUGUUCAGAAACCUGGAAAGGACAAACAUCUCCCCUCUAGCUAUCGCCCCAUUUCUCUCAUGAGUAGUGUAAGGUUUUGGAGUGUAUGGUGAAUUGCCGUUUAGCUUGGUGGCUGGAGUCCUGCAGUCUAGCACCUGCCCUAUGUGGUUUCCAAAAGCAUCUUUCUGCAGUUGACCAUCUUGUUGCCCUCUCCACUUGUAUGAUGAACAAUUUUCUCUGGAAACACCAAACGGUAGCAAUAUUUUUUGAUCUGGAGAGAGCAUAUGAUACUUGGAGGACAGGCAUCCUCCGCACACUGUUCUCUUGGGGCUUUAGAGGUCGGCUGCCCCUUUUUCUUCAUGAAUUUAUGGCAGAGCGUACAUUUAGAGUGCAGGUGAACACUCUCUCCCGUACUUUCUCCCAAGAAAGCGGGGUACCCCAGGGCUCUGUGCUAGGUGUUGUACUGUUUGCCAUUGCCAUAAAUCCCAUUACAGAUUGUCUCCUUCCUGAUGUCUCGGGCUCGCUCUUUGUGGACGAUUUUGCGAUCUACUACAGCUCUCAACGGACCAGCCUUCUUGAACGUCUUAAAGGAUGUCUCGAUCGCCUCCAAUCUUGGAGCAUUGAAACCAGCUUCCGCUUUUCUCCCAGUAAGACUGUUUGUGUUAAUUUUUGGCAUUGUAGGGAGUUUCUUCCACCUUCCUUAUAUCUAGGUCCUGUCAACCUUCCGUUUUCGGGUGUCGCUAAAUUCUUGGGUCUUGUUUAACAGAAAACUGUGCUGGUCCUCCCACAUUUCCUACCUUUCGGCUCGCUGUCUGCAAUCCCUCAACACCCUCCGUGUCCUGAAUGGUACCUCCUGGGGAGCGGACAGAGUGGUCCUCCUCCGCCUCUUAUCGUGCCUUAGUGCGAUCGAAAUUGGACUAUGGAAGCAUAGUUUACUCCUCUGCUCGGCCGUCUAUUCUUCGUCGUCUCGACUCUUGUCCACCACCGUGGAUUACGUUUAGUGUCUGGAGCUUUAUACACCAGCCCUGUGGAAAGCCUUUAUGCUGAGACUGCUGAACCUCCGCUGUCCAAUCGGCGAACUGGCCUUCUGAGUUGUUAUGCUGGCCAUAUGUCUUCCAUGCCUGCAAAUCCGGCCCAUGACAUUUUUUUCGACACCUCCUUGGAUUUAGGAUAUGCAGGCCGCCCUUCCUCCCUACUAUCACUGGGAGUUCGCUUCCGUCAAUUGCUCCAUUCUUUAUCCUUCCGCUUUCCUAAAACUUUCUUGACAACUUGGGGUACAGCACCACCUUGGCUCCAUCCCUGGACCUGCCUGCUCCGUGACCUUUGUCAGUUUCCCAAGGAUGGUACACCUUCACUUGUUUAUCGUCAGGCAUUUGCUGCUCUGUGCACAAAUGAAGGAUCCCACAUUUAUUCACACUGAUGACUCAAACAUCGUUAGGUAUUGGGAGUGCCUAUAUUGUUGGCGACACCCCAAAUCGAUUUCGGCUUCCCGACCAGUGUUUGGUUUAUACUGCGGAGCUUUAUACUGUUCUCCAGGCUGUCCAAUACAUCCGUCGCCAUCAGCGGAUACAGUAUGUUAUCUGUUCAGAUUCUCUCAGCUCUCUCCUCAGUCUCCAAGCUCUCUAUCCUGUCCACCCUCUGGUCCACUGAAUUCAGGACUGCCUCCACUUGCUCCACACAUGGGACGGGGGCACCUCUGUGGGGUUCCUCUGGAUUCAAGGACAGAGGAUUCAAGGACAUGUUGGUAUCUGUGGAAAUGAGGCGGCCAAUAUAGCGGCCAAGGCAGCAGUCUCUCUUCUUCGGCCAGCUAUUUGCACGAUUCCUUUCGCCAAUCUACGGAGUGUUUUAUGUUGUUACUUUUUUGUGGCACACACAUUGGUCAACACUUGCCAAUAAUAAAUUGCGGGACGUGAAAGCUCUUCUCUGUGCUUGGACUUCCUCCCGAACCCGUUGUCGGGAGGAGGUAAUUUUAACCAGACUCCAGUUAGGGCACUGUCUUUUUAGCCAUCAACAUCUUUUAAGUGGUGAUCCUCCCCCACUCUGUCCCCACUACUCUCAGCUUUGGACGGUAAGACACCUUUUACUUGAGUGCCCCUAUUUUACUCUGUUACCCGCCCGUCUACAGCUGUCGCCUGAUAUAUCUUCCAUUUUAGCAGAUGACACACGCUCAGCCGAUCGCGUUCUCGAAUUUAUUAGUGCCAGGGAGAUGAUGUCAGUAAUUUGAAACUUUUUGGGGACAACCAACCCCAUUAUAUAGUGGUUUUUUAAAGCUUUCCUUCUGUUUUUAGUUUCUCCAAUUUUUUUGAGUUUUGUUCCCAAUGCGGCUAGUUUCCAGUUUCGUUUUUUCGUAAGUCACCGGCCAGAUGCUAAUGACCGUAGCACUUUUGCGCCCUAAAACCAUAGCAAAAAAACUGACGGCUCAAUGGCUGAUGGUCACCUAGGCUUCAUAUAUGUUCAUGGAGGACAUAUUGAGCAGCACUCUUUGCCAGUUGGCUGUAGUGUUUGCACUGCAGAGCUGGCGGGCCGUAUCUCUUGCUCUUGAGUACAUCCGCUCAUGCCCUGGCGAGUCAUUUCUCCUGUGUACUGACUCAUUGAGCAGCCUACAAGCAAUCGACCUGUGCUACCCUCGCUACCCUCUGGUAGUGUCCAUUCAGGAGUCCAUCUAUGUCCUGGAACAGUCCCGCAGUUUUGUGGUGUUUGUGUGGACCCCAGGACACGUCGGAAUCUCCUGCUUUAUGUUUAGUCGGUAUUAUGUUGUUGAGUUUCUGUAAAUGUUGUUGGUUAGAAUCGAUAACACACAAUUUUAUAGUUGUUUCUUUGUAAAAACUUUGAUGUCUCAAUAAAAUAUUGUGCAAUGUAUUGUCUUUAUUAGUAAAAUUCUUUGCCUCAUAUGGAGGGAACAAAACUUAAUAUAUACAACUAUAAUUAUGUUUAAAGUAACUACUUGCUGUUAUGUAAAGACUGAUCCUCGCUAAGGGCUUUUAGUUAUUUUGUAUGUAAAAGGUGGUGUGGUUCACCUUGGGAACGGAACUUUGUAGCAUGCGCAAAAUGUGGUUGGUGUGGAUGGAAAGGUGGAAGGGAGUCAGUCGGGGAUGAGCUACUGAACCACCAACAGCUCACAAAAAGGAUGUGAAUUGUGCUGGUACUGAGGGGCUUCUUGUGCUGUUUUCCAAUGUGCCAAAGCCUCGGAUGGAUGCAGUCACUAGCUGGAAUUAUGUUGGAAUUGAUAUCUAUCAUCACCACCAAGAAAUGAGAAUCCAGCAAUUCUACCUGCAAAUCCACCUACAAACAUGCACUUGCCACCACUUUGCACAAUCACUGUAAUGGUACAGAACUACUAUAGUAAUGUACAGUGAAGGAUCAGCUCAUUGGAUGUUAUAAUAUACUCAAAUAUAAGGUAAAUUAUAACUGAACUCUUGUGCCUACCAUGAUUUAUCCUCGGUCACAUAUCCACUUAGGAUCCCUCCCACGCUAAACUACUUACUGAGUGUCCUUUAUUGAAAGCAUAUAAAAGUUAAUGUGGCAAUAGUGUGUGCAAAAAUUAAUAUUGUUUGUUGAAAGGAUCUUACAAAUAUCUCAAUUUUGUGUUUCACUGCAGUAAAAGUUCAGAACUGCAACUGUGGAGAGUUACAUGUUCACCCUUGCUAAGUGCUUGUUUCACUAAUGUAAUGAAAGUGCAUUUAUUUUGCUCUACUACAGUGGUCUAGAGUAAGCCCCCCUCUCCCCCCUUGAAAGUAGUCCAAAUGCACAAAGUUACUUAAUCAUUGAAAGUUUGUUUCUCCUGCUAUUCCUGUAAAGUUAUGUACAGUAUUGGGUUCCUCUUGUGUAUUGAAAGUGCUUAUUAAUAAUGUAACAGGACCCACAGUUUGUCUAUUCUGCUUAGCUAAAUAAUGAUUAAUAAAAUAGACCACCAUCUAUGAUAACAGUAACUUCUUUUAUUCAAAGGUCAGUGAGAAAGUGUUUGUUAGUGAAAUACAAUUAUAUUUCCUUCUAAAUAGAAAUUUAUUUAGCUGAGAGAGACUUAACCUAUGGCCAGUUCAUAAUUUUGCUGUGAACUACAUUAACUUUUUUUUUUUUUGUCAGAUUCAAUAUUACUUUUCAAACAUUUCCCUGUGUCCAAUUUAUGAUUCUGCAAUGAAUAUUAAUAGUCAUGUUAUUGAGACCAUUCAGUUUGACUAAUUCCUAAGGUAAUAGUGUGUAUCAUUAUCUGUUAUAUUUAUGCAAAUAGUUUGUUCUGCUCUGUAAUCUCCAACCUCAAUGUGAACAUAUGCAGGUGCCAGAGUUGUUCUUACUCUGAUGUGACAAAGUAUAGGCUGUUUUUGCCCAUUGAAGUUACGUAUUUUCAGUUUCUUGAACAAGAAUGUUACUCAUUCUUAUGCCUAAUUAGGCUGGUGACCGUUUUUAUCGUCAUUUGGACAGUGUGGAUAGGUAAAUUAUUGUCUGUUACUGUUUAUUUACGUAAUUCUUACUUCCACUUCCAAUAAGCCACCUCCGUUAAGGUAUAUCACGGUCAACACAACUAAAUUCCUUUCCGAUGUUAACACUGCUCUGUUGCUUUAUACCAUAAUUGCUUUAACAAGAUAGUUUCAUUAUACGAUCUGCCUCCAACUUUAAGGUUAUGGUAUAGCAGUAGCAGCAUACAGUAGUGUUAUAAGACGACGCAGAAACUGUCUCUGGAGAGACAUCUCUGUAGCUGACCUACUUUGUCGCACACCGCAGGGUUUUCCGGCUUUGGGAGACGGAAUGGCAUAACAGCACACACAACAAACUGCGUGUCAUUAAGGAGGGAGUCUUCCAUGCAGGCUCUAACAGGAAACCAGUUGUCCUCUGCCAGCUCCGCAUUGGCCGUAAGUGGCUAACGCAUGGUUACCUACUCCGUCGCGAGGACCCACCUCAGUGUCACUGCGGCUCACAAAUGAGUCAUCCACCUCUUGCUGGACUACCCACUUUUAGCCACUCUGCAGCAGACAUUUAACUUCCCCAGCACCCUGCCUUUGGUGUUGAGUGACAAUGCCUCCACAUCAGCUUCAGUUUUAAGUUUUAUCCGUGAGAGUGGGUUUUAUACUUCUAUGUAGGUUUUAGCACAUGUCCUUUGUCCCUCUGUGUCCUCCACCCUAGUGCUUUUAGGGUGGAAGUUUUAAUGUGUUGCUGAGUAGCUGGCUUUCCCUUUUUAAUCCUGUGGUUGGCCAGCCAUUGUAAUCUGCUUUCAUGUUUUAGUGUCUUGUUUCUAGCAUCUCUGUUGUUUUCUUGUCUUCUUUUGCCCCUUCGUUAUUGUGGCUUUUCCUUUCUUUCCAUUUUAUGUUUUGUCUAUUUUAUUCUCACACUUGUGGGGCAUUUUUAUUAGGAACAAGGGACCAAUGACCUUGUAGUUUGGUCCCUUCUCCCACCUUAAAACAAACAAUUAACAACCAACCAACUUUUGAGCAAAUGGACACACCGGCGUGCACACAGUCGAGGGGAAAUAGUCACUUGUGAGUGAGUGUUCUAACGUAAAUGUCACUGUUUUGGAAACAGGAACAACGGAGUUGGAUCAAGAUUGAAUGUGCCAGAGGUCGUACAGCACGAUGAUGUCAUGAAGGUCUUAGAGGUGUGCAGGAAAUCAGCAUAAGAACAAGUGCAUGCUGUUGCCGUGUGAGUGGGCAGUGAUUGAUGCCAUACGAUUCGUGUGCUCACUCACAAAACCGGAUUAGUGCAUACAACCGUGCUUCGUAUCCUGAAGGAACACCUGGGCGUGCAAAAAAUUGCAUCAUGAUGAGUUCUGCAUGACUUGAUGGAAAUGCAGAAAUGGAUGUUACAGUGCUGCUCAGAUGCACUUGAAGUGCUAUGAGCCCGAAAGAGAGGCUUUCUUAAACCGUAUCUCAACACUGAAUGAGACGUGGGCCACAUCAUAAGAGCCAAAACUGAAAUGCCAAUCCAACGAAUUACGUCAUUGAAUUGCCACAAAAGUUUAAAGUGCAUCGGAGCUCUAAUAUGGUGAAAGUUAUAGGUAUUCUCGUGUACGUCUGUGAUUGUGUUAUACUAACGCAUUACCUUCCUCCACAGCAGACCGUCGGUGCACAGUAUUACUGUUAGUUUUCAGAGCAUCACCUGCGACCAGUUUUACGAAGGAAGCGGCGACACUUUCUGCACAACCCACCCAUCAUUUUGCACGACAAUGUGUGCGUGCGUGCAUACAGUGCAAGCUGUGGCUGCUCUAUUUGUUCGAUGGGACUGGGAAGUACUGUACCAUUCACCAUACUCCCUGGACUUAAGGACUUAUGACUUUGACUUGAUUCCAAAGAUCAAGGAACCACUUCAUGGCAUUCGCUUCGGAACUGUUACAGAGAUUAAACAGGAAGUAGACCACUCCAUUUGCACGAUCAACAGAACAGGCUCUGCUAACAGUAUGCUAUGCCUUCCACAUCGCUGGUAACGGGUUCUACACAAUGUUGGUGACUACUUUGUAGGGCAGUAAUGGGAACAAACAUUUAACUCUUUUUGUAUCGGUUGUGAAUAAAUAGUUGCCACUAUUUAAGUUCCAACCCUUGUACUUAAUGAAUUUGCUAAUUACUUUGUACGUCCACUUUGAAUUGUACUUUGGCAAAGCUAUUGAAGCUAAGAUAGCUGUACAAUUAUAAAAACAAACAUAAGCAAGCAUAAUAUUGUUGACCUCUUCAGUUGUGUCCUUAGUUUUGAUUUGUGGAUAUCGUUCAGGAGCUGUAGAAUUUAAUAUACCAACAACUUUCCAAUGUGUUAGUGCCAAGCUCUGCAGCUUCUUUUUCUUUUUCCCCCAGUGCACAUUGCACAGGAAUUUCUCUGCCUCGUAGUGAUAAGUUUGUAUACUUUAUCCCUGCACCAAACUAUUCAACCACUACACAUAGACCAAACAAACAAUAGCAGUGCUUAGUGACCAUUUGUGGCAGCAUGCCUGGAAAAAUAUUACUUUGAUCUCUACAGACACAGCUGCAGAAUGCUAGUUUAGUAUUACCCGCAUGUUGUGAAUAUCAGUAGUCCAAUACUAGCUGCAAACACUGUUUCAGAAAUAUUUUGAAUUUCAUGGAAAUGCACCUUACGGCAUCACUAAUGGACAUAAUGUACAGAUACAGAUGUAAUUAGUAAUGGCUUCGGUAUGUGCAGAGAAUGAGUGGUUUGUUUUGAAAGGUUCAAGGACAUACUCUGCAAUACAGUACAGUAUAUUUUGCUUGUAGAAAGAAAACUCCUGUCAUCAAGAAGUGAGGACCACAUCUCUAAUUUAUAUUCUGUAGCUGCUGUGGUUUUCCAUUACAUCCAUGUUUUUUAGAGUGAAAAUCAUAAAUACAUUGCAGACAACACACAUUAAAAUUCAAGUAAUUCCCAUUCAGUGGACUGAAAGUUACCCAACAUAAACUGACACAUGGCGUGUUUGAGUUAAUAAGCUUGAUGUUGUGAAAGUUAGUAAGUUGACAAAUAUUUCAUAGGGAUUGAACAUGAAUUGUACUCUUUAUAGCUAUGUGCCAAACGGACUGAAUAUUGAAAAGUAUAUAAAGGCAAAAGUAUUCCUUGCAUGCAGCAAGCAGUAAAGGAACACCAUCUUCAAGUUUUGAAUAUAGUGUCCAGUAUCUCUGAAAAUACCAAGCCAGUAAACUUGAUUGGCAAGCCUUAAGGGGCUCUUUAUGCUCUUUAGCAAAUUUAUUUCUCAAAUUACAUAUAUCAAAAAUCCUUUAACUACAAGACAAGUAUUAAACAGUGGCUUCACUGCCUUUAAAAUGGGCACCACGUACUCUCCGAAAGAGCUCCAUGCUAUCUGCCACAGUUUGGAUACGAGGGCUGCUAUAUAUAUUUCUGGCCUAGGCAACACUAAGUGUUGCCAGGUGCAAUCUGACAUUUCCAUUGGAAAGUUUGACAUUUUUUAGCAUAAAUGUACUCAGAACUUUUUGACUUACGACAAUUUUUUUUUUCUUUUACAGGGACUUGAAGAAAUAAAUUUGGCACAAAAAUGGAAUUAACUCGUGAACAUUUUCGUGCGAUCAUUUUUCACAACUUUCGACGUGGAUUAUCACGACAAGAAUGCAUCGAUGAACUUAAAUCUUUGUAUGGCGACGAAGCACCAUCCUAUAGCACUGUGAAAAACUGGUACAACGAAUUCCAUCGUGGCUGACGCUCGCUCAGACGAAUUCCGUGAAGGUCGUCCAAAAACAGCCGUUGUGCCAGAAAACAUCGAUGCCGUACGUGAACUGAUAAUGCAAGACCGUCAUGUGACAUACCGUGAGAUAGAGGCAUGCCUAGGCAUUUCUCCCACCAGCAUACAUUCGAUAUUGCAUGAACACCUGGCCGUAAAAAAGGUUUGUUCUCGUUGGAUCCCGCACAAUUUGACAAUCGCUCAAAAGAAAGCUCGUAUGGAUUGGUGUAAAGAAAUGCUGAAAAAAUACGAUCGCGGUGCUUCAAAAGACGUUUAUAAGAUCGUCACAGGUGACUAAUCAUGGAUCUAUGCGUAUGAGCCUGAAACAAAACAUCAAUCGACCGUGUGGGUCUUCAAAGACGAGCCAAAUCCAACGAAAGUUGUUUGUGGAAGAAGCACUUCAAAGCAAAUGGUCGCCUGUUUCUUCUGCAAAACUGGUCAUGUGGCGACUGUUCCGCUUGAGCAACGUAGGAUGGUCAAUUCUGAGUGGUACACCACCAUUUGUUUGCCUGAAGUCUUCGGAGAAAUUCGAAAAAUGAAAAAGAGAAGACGAAUCAUUGUGCACCAUGACAAUGCGAGCUGUCACAUCGGCUCAAACCAGUGCCUUUUUGACCGGCCAAAACGUCGAAGUGAUGGGUCAUCCGCCGUACAGCCCUGACUUGGCACCCAAUGACUUCUUUUUAUUCCCACACAUCAAGAAAAAAAUGCGUGGUAAAAGAUUUUCGUCGCCAGAAGAUGCUGUUGCAGCAUUCAAAAACCAUGUUUUGGAGGUGUCUCAAUCGGAGUGGAAAAAGUGCUUCGAAAAUUGGUUUGAGCGCAUGCAAAAGUGUAUAAAUCUUGAUGGAGAAUAUUUUGAAAAACAAUAAACCUUUUCGUUGAUAAA